AUUGAACGCUGGCGGCAGGCCUAACACAUGCCAGUCGAGCGGAUGAAGGGAGCUUGCUCCUGGAUUCAGCGGCGGACGGGCGAGUAAUGCCUAGGAAUCUGCCUGGUAGUGGGGGAUAACGUCCGUAAACGGGCGCUAAUACCGCAUACGUCCUGAGGGAGAAAGUGGGGGAUCUUCGGACCUCACGCUAUCAGAUGAGCCUAGGUCGGAUUAGCUAGUUGGUGGGGUAAAGGCCUACCAAGGCGACGAUCCGUAACUGGUCUGAGAGGAUGAUCAGUCACACUGGAACUGAGACACGGUCCAGACUCCUACGGGAGGCAGCAGUGGGGAAUAUUGGACAAUGGGCGAAAGCCUGAUCCAGCCAUGCCGCGUGUGUGAAGAAGGUCUUCGGAUUGUAAAGCACUUUAAGUUGGGAGGAAGGGCAGUAAGUUAAUACCUUGCUGUUUUGACGGUACCAACAGAAUAAGCACCGGCUAACUUCGUG
rnacentral:rRNA from 1 species